rnacentral:rRNA from 1 species
UGGGGAAUAUUGGACAAUGGGCGCAAGCCUGAUCCAGCAAUGCCGCGUGUGUGAAGAAGGCCUGCGGGUUGUAAAGCGCUUUCAGUGGGGAGGAAGGCCUCGGCGUUAAUAUCGUCGAGGAUUAACGUUACCUACAGAAGAAGCACCGGCUAACUCUGUGCCAGCAGCCGCGGUAAUACAGAGGGUGCAAGCGUUCAUCGGAAUUACUGGGCGUAAAGGGCGCGUAGGUGGUUAAUUAAGUCAGAUGUGAAAUCCCCGGGCUUAACCUGGGAAUUGCAUUUGAAACUGAUUGGCUAGAGUACGGGAGAGGGAAGUGGAAUUUCCGGUGUAGCGGUGAAAUGCGUAGAUAUCGGAAGGAACACCAGUGGCGAAGGCGACUUCCUGGCCCGUUACUGACACUGAGGCGCGAAAGCGUGGGGAGCGAACA